GUCGAACGAACUCUGGUAUUGAUUGGUGCUUGCAUCAUGAUUUACAUUUGAGUGAGUGGCGAACUGGUGAGUAACACGUGGGAAACCUGCCCAGAAGCGGGGGAUAACACCUGGAAACAGAUGCUAAUACCGCAUAACAACUUGGACCGCAUGGUCCGAGUUUGAAAGAUGGCUUCGGCUAUCACUUUUGGAUGGUCCCGCGGCGUAUUAGCUAGAUGGUGGGGUAACGGCUCACCAUGGCAAUGAUACGUAGCCGACCUGAGAGGGUAAUCGGCCACAUUGGGACUGAGACACGGCCCAAACUCCUACGGGAGGCAGCAGUAGGGAAUCUUCCACAAUGGACGAAAGUCUGAUGGAGCAACGCCGCGUGAGUGAAGAAGGGUUUCGGCUCGUAAAACUCUGUUGUUAAAGAAGAACAUAUCUGAGAGUAACUGUUCAGGUAUUGACGGUAUUUAACCAGAAAGCCACGGCUAACUACGUGCCAGCAGCCGCGGUAAUACGUAGGUGGCAAGCGUUGUCCGGAUUUAUUGGGCGUAAAGCGAGCGCAGGCGGUUUUUUAAGUCUGAUGUGAAAGCCUUCGGCUCAACCGAAGAAGUGCAUCGGAAACUGGGAAACUUGAGUGCAGAAGAGGACAGUGGAACUCCAUGUGUAGCGGUGAAAUGCGUAGAUAUAUGGAAGAACACCAGUGGCGAAGGCGGCUGUCUGGUCUGUAACUGACGCUGAGGCUCGAAAGUAUGGGUAGCAAACAGGAUUAGAUACCCUGGUAGUCCAUACCGUAAACGAUGAAUGCUAAGUGUUGGAGGGUUUCCGCCCUUCAGUGCUGCAGCUAACGCAUUAAGCAUUCCGCCUGGGGAGUACGGCCGCAAGGCUGAAACUCAAAGGAAUUGACGGGGGCCCGCACAAGCGGUGGAGCAUGUGGUUUAAUUCGAAGCUACGCGAAGAACCUUACCAGGUCUUGACAUACUAUGCAAAUCUAAGAGAUUAGACGUUCCCUUCGGGGACAUGGAUACAGGUGGUGCAUGGUUGUCGUCAGCUCGUGUCGUGAGAUGUUGGGUUAAGUCCCGCAACGAGCGCAACCCUUAUUAUCAGUUGCCAGCAUUAAGUUGGGCACUCUGGUGAGACUGCCGGUGACAAACCGGAGGAAGGUGGGGAUGACGUCAAAUCAUCAUGCCCCUUAUGACCUGGGCUACACACGUGCUACAAUGGAUGGUACAACGAGUUGCGAACUCGCGAGAGUAAGCUAAUCUCUUAAAGCCAUUCUCAGUUCGGAUUGUAGGCUGCAACUCGCCUACAUGAAGUCGGAAUCGCUAGUAAUCGCGGAUCAGCAUGCCGCGGUGAAUACGUUCCCGGGCCUUGUACACACCGCCCGUCACACCAUGAGAGUUUGUAACACCCAAAGUCGGUGGGGUAACCUUUUAGGAACCAGCCGCCUAAGGGGACAG
rnacentral:rRNA from 2 species